rnacentral:rRNA from 1 species
GUGAGGAAUUUUCUGCAAUGGGCGAAAGCCUGACGGAGCAAUGCCGCGUGAAGGAUGAAGGCCUAUGGGUUGUAAACUUCUUUUCUCAGAAAAGAAUUAUGACGGUAUCUGAGGAAUAAGCAUCGGCUAACUCUGUGCCAGCAGCCGCGGUAAGACAGAGGAUGCAAGCGUUAUCCGGAAUGAUUGGGCGUAAAGCGUCUGUAGGUUGUUUAAAAAGUAUUCUGUCAAAGAUUAGGGCUUAACCCUAGAUAGGCAGAAUAAACUUUUAAGCUAGAGUUUGGUAGAGGCAGAGGGAAUUCCCGGUGGAGCGGUGAAAUGCGUAGAUAUCGGGAGGAACACCAAAGGCGAAGGCACUCUGCUGGGCCAAUACUAACACUGAGAGACGAAAGCGAGGGGAGCAAAUGGGAUUAGAAACCCGGGUAGUCC